rnacentral:lncRNA from 1 species
UGAGAAGCUCUUCCUACCCCCAGGAAGCUUCAGGAAUGCCCUUCUUCCCUUUGUCCCAGAAUCCCUUGGUUAUCCUAAUCCAAGAUAGCUUGGGGUGCUGACAGGAAAAACCACUUUGGACAACAGGCAAAAGCCUCGCCUCAGUUUCAUCAGUCAGAAAGCAGAUGGCAAACCACUCCAGCCUCCUUCCAGUUUGGGCCUCAGCAUGACUCCUCCUUCUACCUGGGAUUCCAUCCCUGUGCUCUUCUGGAGAAUGCAGUUUAAAGGUCACCCCAACUGUGAAGCCUUCCUAGCUGAGAAGUUCAAGAUCAAGGCACCAGGAGACACUCUGUCUGGUGAGAGCUUAUAAAGUUCAAUCACAG